rnacentral:rRNA from 1 species
AUAUUCCUACGGGGGGCAGCAGUAGGGAAUCUUCCACAAUGGGCGCAAGCCUGAUGGAGCAACACCGCGUGAGUGAAGAAGGGUUUCGGCUCGUAAAACUCUGUUGUUGGAGAAGAACGUGCGUGAGAGUAACUGUUCACGCAGUGACGGUAUCCAACCAGAAAGUCACGGCUAACUACGUGCAGCAGCCGCGGUAAUACGUAGGUGGCAAGCGUUAUCCGGAUUUAUUG